rnacentral:rRNA from 1 species
AACGAACGCUGGCGGCAUGCCUAACACAUGCAAGUCGAACGAAGCCUUCGGGCUUAGUGGCGCACGGGUGCGUAACGCGUGGGAAUCUGCCCUUGGGUUCGGAAUAACAGUUAGAAAUGACUGCUAAUACCGGAUGAUGUCUUCGGACCAAAGAUUUAUCGCCCAAGGAUGAGCCCGCGUAGGAUUAGGUAGUUGGUGGGGUAAUGGCCCACCAAGCCGACGAUCCUUAGCUGGUCUGAGAGGAUGAUCAGCCACACUGGGACUGAGACACGGCCCAGACUCCUACGGGAGGCAGCAGUGGGGAAUAUUGGACAAUGGGCGAAAGCCUGAUCCAGCAAUGCCGCGUGAGUGACGAGGGCCUUAGGGUUGUAAAGCUCUUUUACCAGGGAUGAUAAUGACAGUACCUGGAGAAUAAGCUCCGGCUAACUCCGUGCCAGCCGCCGCAGUAA